GCAUCGAUGAAGAACGCAGCGAAAUGCGAUAAGUAAUGUGAAUUGCAGAAUUCAGUGAAUCAUCGAAUCUUUGAACGCACAUUGCGCCCUCUGGUACUCCGGAGGGCAUGCCUGUUCGAGCGUCAUUGCACCCUCAAGCCUCGCUUGGUAGUGGGCGCCGGCCCCCCGGGGACGCGCCUUAAAGACGGUGGCGGUCCGUCGUGACUUCAAGCGUAGUAUGAUUACUCCAGUCCCGCUUUGGAAGCCUCGCGACGCGUCCGGCCAUGCCUCCCGCGGCCUUUAGACGGCCUUGCACGAUUGACCUCGGAUCAGGUAGGGAUACCCGCUGAACUUAAGCAUAUCAAUAAGCGGAGGAAAAGAAACCAACAGGGAUUGCCUCAGUAACGGCGAGUGAAGCGGCAACAGCUCAAAUUUGAAAUCUGGCCCCCCCCGGGGUCCGAGUUGUAAUUUGCAGAGGGUGUUUCGGGCGAGGCACCGGCCUAAGUCCCUUGGAACAGGGCGUCCUAGAGGGUGAGAGUCCCGUAUGCGGCCGGCGACCGAGUCCAUGUGAAACCCCUUCGACGAGUCGAGUUGUUUGGGAAUGCAGCUCUAAAUGGGUGGUAUAUUUCAUCUAAAGCUAAAUACUGGCCAGAGACCGAUAGCGCACAAGUAGAGUGAUCGAAAGAUGAAAAGCACUUUGGAAAGAGAGUUAAACAGCACGUGAAAUUGUU
rnacentral:rRNA from 1 species